GGGGGUGUGGUGAAAUAGGUAGACGCACUGGACUCAAAAUCCAGCGGGCGCAAGCCCAUGUCGGUUCGAUUCCGACCACCCCCACCA
rnacentral:tRNA from 1 species